CUCUGAUGUUUGGACUGAACGGCGUUAAAUGUGGUCCCGGGUAAUCACAGUCUGACUUACCGGUAAUACACCAAAUGCCGGAGGAACUCAGCAUCUCAGGCAAAGUCUAUGGAAUUGAAGAAGAAUUCGACCUUUCGGGCCGACACUCUUCAGUGGAACUGCAAAGGAGGGAAGCAGAGUCCAGGAGUCGGAUGCAGUUUAUCGAGGUAAAACAAAACUGAAUCAACUUCCCGGACUCUAUACAGAUUACAAAGGUGGAGACGUUUGGAUGAGGCACAUUAGAGUGGAUAAAUCACCCGAACCUGACAAGGUGUUCCUUCGGACCUCGCGAAAGGAAAAUCUUGCA